AGAAAUUAAAUUGGAUUAAAGUAAUUAUGUAAUUAGCUCAAAUGAUUACAAUUUAACAAAAACUACCUAAAUAACAAUUAAUAAUUUUAAUUAAAAUAAAUAAAUAAAUAUAAAUAAAAAGCUAGUAACUAGGGGAUGUGUAUUUGUAACUAUGGGUGAAAAACAUGUAAAUGGUAAAGGCCCAAUAUCACAAAAUAAACCCUAACCCUACCAAAUAAUUGAUGACAAGUGGCCACAAUUUUUUUUAAAAAAAAAAAUUAAAAGUAAAUAAAUCUGCACUUACCUCUUC
rnacentral:lncRNA from 1 species